rnacentral:rRNA from 1 species
CGUGGUAACCUGCCUCAUACAGGGGGAUAGCAGCUGGAAACGGCUGAUAAAACCGCAUAAGCGCACAGUAUCGCAUGAUGCAGUGUGAAAAACUCCGGUGGUAUGAGAUGGACCCGCGUCUGAUUAGCUGGUUGGUGAGGUAACGGCCCACCAAGGCGACGAUCAGUAGCCGGCCUGAGAGGGUGACCGGCCACAUUGGGACUGAGACACGGCCCAA